rnacentral:rRNA from 1 species
CCUACGGGAGACAGCAGUGAGGAAUAUUGGUCAAUGGACGAGAGUCUGAACCAGCCAAGUAGCGUGAAGGAUGACUGCCCUAUGGGUUGUAAACUUCUUUUAUAUGGGAAUAAAAUGUUCCACGUGUGUGAUUUUGUAUGUACCAUAUUAAUAAGGAUCGGCUAACUCCGUGCCAGCAGCCGCGGUAAUACGGAGGAUCCGAGCGUUAUCCGGAUUUAUUGGGUUUAAAGGGAGCGUAGGUGGAUUGUUAAGUCAGUUGUGAAAGUUUGCGGCUCAACCGUAAAAUUGCAGUUGAAACUGGCAGUCUUGAGUACAGUAGAGGUGGGCGGAAUUCGUGGUGUAGCGGUGAAAUGCUUAGAUAUCACGAAGAACUCCGAUUGCGAAAGCAGUUCACUGGACUGCAACUGACACUGAGGCUCGAAAGUGUGGGUAUCAAACAGGAUUAGAUACCCCUGUAGUC